GCUCCUCCCCACUGCAAAUGGUGCGGACUUCUGUGGCUCCAUCCCGAUAGGCACCCCAGUGCACGGGCCGGUUGGAGUUUUGCGAGGGAGCUCUUCUCACCUGGCUGUCUCAAUGAUAGUAUUUACAUUUUGGAGGAAACAUGGAUGCCACACCUGAAAGGCAGUGGCCAUUUCGGUAAUCACCUGAGGCAAGAUCAGAAAAAAUCUAAAAGAAUUGCAGAGAUGCUGACCUUGAUGACUUCAAGCUGCUGAACCAAGGAUCACCUGACCCCACAUGCUUCCUGCAUCCUCACUUCAUCUGUUCAUGUUGGGGAGGCUGCACUUAAGAUCCUGUUAUUUGGAGUUUGAUCAUGGACAGGACUUGUGAUGUCACAUGUCAACGGUAGCUGCACCUACUAAAAAAUUUAUCUUUGUUGUUUAAGCAAUAGAGGUGCCAAGUGUCCGCGAAAGGGAAAAGCUGAAAAGUUGAUGAACUAAGCAUGACGUUACUGGAAAUGGAAAAACUGUAGAUUCCUGACUGAAGAAAAAUUAUAUUUACUUACUUAGUUAUUUAUACAUAGAAAAGAGACCAUAUCUUAAAACAAGUGUUACUUGAGAGUGGUUUUCAAGGAUUUCUACUUUUUGUAAAAAACUUAAUUUGGGAGGGUGGGAAGUAAUGCUUUUAAUUUUAAAAAAAUUUAUUGAGUAAUAAUUUAUGUAUCAUGAAAUUUGUCUAAUUUAAGUGAAUAAUUCAAUUAUUUUUUGUACAUUUACCCAUUUGUGCAAUCAUGAAAACAAUCCAGUUUUAGAACAGUUUCAUCGCCCUAGUAAGAUUCCCCAUGCCCAUUUAUAGUCAAUUCCUAUUUUCGCUCUAGCCCCAGGCAACCACUGAUCUACUUUCUCUCUCUAUGUAUUCAUCUAUUCUGGACAAUUAAUA
ensembl:lncRNA novel transcript